rnacentral:rRNA from 1 species
CCUACGGGUGGCAGCAGUGGGGAAUAUUGCACAAUGGGGGAAACCCUGAUGCAGCGACGCCGCGUGAGUGAAGAAGUAAUUCGUUACGUAAAGCUCUAUCAGCAGGGAAGAAACACUGACCUUACGGUCAGCAGACGGUACCUGAGUCAGAAGCCCCGGCUAACUACGUGCCAGCAGCCGCGGGAAUACGUAGGGGGCAAGCGUUAUCCGGAUUUACGGGGUGUAAAGGGAGCGUAGACGGUGUGCCAAGUCUGGAGUGAAAUGCCGGAGCUUAACUGCGGAACUGCCUUGGAAACUGGCGAACUAGAGUGCGGGAGGGGUGAGCGGAAUUCCUAGUGUAGCGGUGAAAUGCGUAGAUAUUAGGAGGAACACCGGUGGCGAAGGCGGCUUACUGGACCGUAACUGACGUUGAGGCGCGAAAGCGUGGGGAGCAAACAGGAUUAGAUACCCUAGUAGUC